UAAUGUUUGAUAUACCAUUUUCUAGCUCUGAGUCUCUACUUUUAUUCAAUGUAAAAAAAACACAAUUUCAAAUUUUGCUACAUAAGACCAAAUCGAGCCAGUCAGUCACAUAUGACAAAGCAACACAAAAUUAGUCCACACCUUCUAUGAAAUGGAAGUAAUUUCAGCUUCUGAGGAUAAAACUGAUAUCAGAUAAAUAGCAGAUACAUUAUACUUAAAAAUGCAAUAAGUAAAACCUGCUGGUUGUUAAAAAUGACUCUUAAAUUGUUCCAACCCUCACCCUACCAUUCAGAAACAUAACAGCAAUGUGAAGACGUCGAAAUCACCGAAACCUGUUAAGUCGAGGAGAUCUCCAAGAGAAACCGAAUGUAGACUACAUUAAAAUAACUGAAAACGGAAUCGCAUGAGGAAUGUAAUCUCCCACCUCCAGCCCCUACUGCCUCCAAGUUAUGUAAAGUAUGGUAGCCUGCAAUGCUGAUUACUAAUCGACCCUUUGUCCCGAAAACCUAGCCGCUGAACAACCACCUUGCCUUUUGAUAGACUGGGAGGAUCUUUUACCGUAUUACCUUAACUGAUCCUUUCAAAUCUACAAGCAUGUGGCUAGUGGGAAUGUAGCCUCAACCCAGAUGGAAUCACUCCAUGUUUCAACAUUGUUAAUGUAGUAAAACAAAUGUGAAACAACUGAAAUCCUUCUGGAUUUCCAGCUAGGAGCGUAGGGGCUUGGGAGGUUAACUUCAGCAGGUUGUAGAGUUUUAGUUUAAAGUUUGGUAAUGUGUUUAGGUUGACUUUUUAAAAGUAUUCUACCAUGUCAAUAAAACUUAAACACAUGACAAUUGUGUGUAGAAAAAGGCUGGAUGUUAUUUUACACAUGCACUUUUUUUAAGGGAAAGGUCUACCCAAGACCUCACCAAAAUAUGCCCCUAAGCACCAGAAAACCUGUCGCACUACUACCAAGAAACAAAAGGCUAAAACGUAGCACAAGCCACCAAGUAAUGACGGUGAGGACGACCCUUCAAAACGUAAGACAACCUCAUAUUCUACAUCAUUGUGUGGAGAUGGAGAAAUGUCAAACUAAAACGCUGCGCAAGCCACCAAGCGAUUAUAGCGAGGAGAACCCUUCACAACAGAAUCUUAAGCCUUCAUGCUCCAGGGAUAGGUCAUGUGGGAGACGAGAGAUCCCCUCACCAAAGCGCUGCAAAGGCUCAGACUCUUUCCUAAGACAGUUGCCUGAUUGAGGAAUUACACUUCAAAGUGAACAUGACGGAGGAAGAUUUACUAAAGAUGGAAGAGCAGCUUAUGGAGAAUGAUUUUCAAAAAUACAUGAUAUCUCAGAUCUCAAACUGGGGGGAAAAACAUCCCGGACCAGAACCCUGACAAAAAGCCUAAUGUCAACAAUGAAUAUGCAAGGAAACAAAGGGAAGAGCAGGUGUGAGUCUAGGUGAAUCAAAGGCUACAGUGGCAGAAAUACUACAGGCGAUGUCAACCUGCCUGAAAUUUGCACCUGACUGCAAGGGAGGCAGUGGGAGUGCCAAUGAGUAAGGGGGUGAAAGAGUUCUUAAGAAGUUAAAACCAUCAAGCUUGUUCCGACAUUGCCUUUUUUGGGGUUAUUGUAUAUCUAAUUUGUGCCAGAAAUCAUUUUUUUUUGCUUUUUUAAUAAAUAA